GGGGAGGGAAUGAACAGAAUGAAAAACUAUAGAAAGCAGCCUGAUGACCAGGGCCUUGGAUCUGUGCUCCGGCUCCACUCCAGCUCCAGCUCCAGGCAAAAACCUGUGGCUCCACUGCUCCGGAGCUGCUCCAUGCUCCAGCUCCAGGAUCCUCUUCAAAGCCAACCAUUCUAAUGAUAUGGUUUCCAGAUAUGGAAUGGCCUAUAACCAAAGAACUCAAUUCCCCCACAUAUCCGGCAUACAAGAGAACUACUAAGCAGAAUAAGACCACUACAAGGAGGGAAUGAAAAGCACGCAAACGAAAAUGUACUCCAAACAAGCAGGUAAUGCAGAGACAACAGCACGCAAGGACUGGGUUUGAGAACCCUCUGCUAG
rnacentral:lncRNA from 1 species